UUGCUGACAACGCUCUUGAGUCAUAGUUAAACAAAUUAAACCACGGCCGUGGGUUGCCAUGAAGUUUAUGGCGUCCGCUGAAAUAUGCUCGGCUGCGAUGAUUA
rnacentral:antisense_RNA from 1 species